rnacentral:rRNA from 1 species
UGGGGAAUUUUGGACAAUGGGCGAAAGCCUGAUCCAGCAAUGCCGCGUGUGUGAAGAAGGCCUUCGGGUUGUAAAGCACUUUUGUCCGGAAAGAAAUCCUUGGCUCUAAUACAGUCGGGGGAUGACGGUACCGGAAGAAUAAGCACCGGCUAACUACGUGCCAGCAGCCGCGGUAAUACGUAGGGUGCAAGCGUUAAUCGGAAUUACUGGGCGUAAAGCGUGCGCAGGCGGUUUGCUAAGACCGAUGUGAAAAUCCCCGGGCUCAACCUGGGAACUGCAUUUGGUGACUGGCAGGCUAGAGUAUGGCAGAGGGGGGUAAAUUCCACGUGGUAGCAAGUGAAAAUGCGUAGGAGAUGUGGAGGAAUACCGAUGGCGAAGGCAGCCCCCUGGGCCAAUACUGACGCUCAUGCACGAAAGCGUGGGGGAGCAAAACAGGAUUAGAUACCCCUGGUAGUCCACGCCCUAAAACGAUGUCAACUAGUUGUUGGGGAUUCAUUUCCUUAGUAACGUAGCUAACGCGUGAAGUUGACC